GGUAUUACGUGUAGUGCCACGAGGCAUAAUCGUAAAGAUUAAGAACGAGAAAAUCAGAUUAGGAUUGGAUAAUAAGGACUUAGACCGAAGAGGGUCUAUUGGAAUUAUCGUAGGAUAAUAAUUUAAAUGGAAAAUUAUUAUGCGAUGAAUUGGAUUUAAUCGGGACAAAAAUGGAAUGAGAUAAAAUAAGUUGGAAAGCCAGAGUUAAUAAUAUUCACGUCAAGGUCCGUGAAAUAUUAUUAAUAAAUGAUCGUCAAGUUUCGUAAGUGUACGAAAUCGUUUUAGAAGAAAGUUUGACGGUUAGUUAAGAAUAAGGGUUAAAGUGCAAAUUAGCCACUUAAGGGCUAAAGUGGACUUUUAACCACAAACUUCCGAAGGAAGUUAUGUUUUACUCUAUUUUCUCAAGAUAAGAAAAUAAUAUCGAUAAAGUGGUUAUCGAUAGUCAUUAAUAUGAAAAUUGGACGAAAAAGUGAGAAAAAGUGCAAAUUAGCUCAAAAUGGAAAUUUGAGCGUUUUUGGCCAAAAUUGCCAAAAUAAAUUGUUGAAAAGUGAUAUUAUAAGAUAUGAUACUAAUAUUAUUUAUUUGGAAAAUAAAUAAUACGGAAUUCAUCGAGAAUCGAAUAAUUAAAGGAUUAGUGGACUAAAUUGGACGAAAGAAAAGUUAGAAGUUAGAGGUUGAGGAGGUGGCAAACUCAAGGACUAAAGGAGACUUUUGUCUCAUUUAUCUAAGCCACUUGCAUAUGAGUUUAAACUCAGCAAGCUUAUCAUUUUCAGCUCCCAAAUUUCGUACUCCAUCCUUUCUCCAUGGAAGAUCAUCAACCAAAUUUCAAAGGAGCAUAACUUCUUCGUUUCUCAACGAAAUUGGACGAUUCUUGUGGCCACGGAACGAGAAGAAGGAGAGCUACUGAUCUAGCCCUAUUUUUCAAGGUGUUCUUGAGUUGAAUUGAAGCAAAGUUGAUGGUGAAUUUGAGCUUGAAGUGUUUGGCCAUGAUCAACAAUCCAAGGGAUAGUAUGAUAUGAUUUGAAGAGUCAA